AUUGAACGCUGGCGGCAUGCCUUACACAUGCAAGUCGAACGGCAGCACGGGGGCAACCCUGGUGGCGAGUGGCGAACGGGUGAGUAAUGCAUCGGAACGUGCCCAGUAGUGGGGGAUAACCAGUCGAACGACUGGCUAAUACCGCAUACGAACUAAGGGUGAAAGCGGGGGACCGUAAGGCCUCGCGCUAUUGGAGCGGCCGAUGUCUGAUAAGCUAGUUGGCGGGGUAAGAGCCCACCAAGGCGACGAUCAGUAGCUGGGCUGAGAGGACGACCAGCCACACUGGGACUGAGACACGGCCCAGACGCCUACGGGAGGCAGCAGUGGGGAAUUUUGGACAAUGGGCGCAAGCCUGAUCCAGCCAUGCCGCGUGCGGGAAGAAGGCCUUCGGGUUGUAAACCGCUUUUGGCAGGAACGAAACGGCGCAGGCCAAUACCUUGCGCUAAUGACGGUACCUGCAGAAUAAGCACCGGCUAACUACGUGCCAGCCGCCGCCGUAACAC
rnacentral:rRNA from 1 species